CGUGGGGGAGGAGGUUUGUGGAUUGUAAACCCCUUUUGAUUGGGAAGAAAUACUGACGGUACCAAUCGAAUAAGCAUCGGCUAACUCCGUGCCAGCAGCCGCGGUAAUACGGAGGAUGCAAGCGUUAUCCGGAAUUAUUGGGCGUAAAGCGUCCGUAGGUGGUUUAGUAAGUCUGCUGUUAAAGCGCGGGGCUUAACUCCGUAUCGGCAGUGGAAACUACUAGACUUGAGUGUGGUAGGGGUAGAGGGAAUUCCCAGUGUAGCGGUGAAAUGCGUAGAUAUUGGGAAGAACACCGGUGGCGAAAGCGCUCUACUGGGCCAUAACUGACACUGAUGGACGAAAGCUAGGGGAGCGAAAGGGAUUAGAUACCCACCGUAAAGGAUGGAAACUAGGUGUU
rnacentral:rRNA from 1 species